CAGCAGCCACGGUAAUACGAAGGGGGCUAGCGUUGCUCGGAAUGACUGGGCGUAAAGGGCGCGUAGGCGGUUUUGACAGUCAGAUGUGAAAUUCCUGGGCUUAACCUCGGAAUUGCCUUUGAUACUGGGUGUCUUGAGUAUGAGAGAGGUAUGUGGAACUCCGAGUGUAGAGGUGAAAUUCGUAGGUAUUCGGAAGAACACCAGUGGCGAAGGCGACAUACUGGCUCAUUACUGACGCUGAGGCUCGAAAGCGUGGGGAGCAAACAGGAUUAGAGACCCCCGUAGUCCCUGUCUCUUAUAC
rnacentral:rRNA from 1 species